rnacentral:rRNA from 1 species
AUUGAACGCUGGCGGCAGGCUUAACACAUGCAAGUCGAGCGGAGAUGAGGUGCUUGCACCUUAUCUUAGCGGCGGACGGGUGAGUAAUGCUUAGGAAUCUGCCUAUUAGUGGGGGACAACAUUCCGAAAGGAAUGCUAAUACCGCAUACGUCCUACGGGAGAAAGCAGGGGAUCUUCGGACCUUGCGCUAAUAGAUGAGCUUAAGUCGGAUUAGCUAGUUGGUGGGGUAAAGGCCUACCAAGGCGACGAUCUGUAGCGGGUCUGAGAGGAUGAUCCGCCACACUGGAACUGAGACACGGCCCAGACUCCUCCGGGAGGCAGCAGUGGGGAAUAUUGGACAAUGGGGGAAACCCUGAUCCAGCCAUGCCGCGUGUGUGAAGAAGGCCUUAUGGUUGUAAAGCACUUUAAGCGAGGAGGAGGCUACUGAGACUAAUACUCUUGGAUAGUGGACGUUACUCGCAGAAUAAGCACCGGCUAACUCUGUGCCAGCAGCCGCAGUAAGAC